GGUCCACUAAGGAAUUGUCAGAUCUAACAGCAAUUCUGGUUUUGUUGUUAUUUAUUAGCGGAUGUGGAGUGUAUUUCAGUUCCUUAAUAUAUACAAUCAAGGCUUAUAAUUUUAUAAGCUUUAUAAGACCAUUUACAGGUAUAAUAAUUUCAAUGGCUGUGUGCAUUCCGUUUGUAUAUUUAGGACAAAUGUUGUGCAACAAGUUUGAAGAAUUUUAUAACGCACAAUUAAAGUAUCCUUGGCUGUACUGGAAUAUCAAAAAUAAGAAAAUGUAUCUGAUGUUAUUAAUAAGCACUCAAAAAGUUGAAGGAAUAACUUUUGCUAAUUUGGUAAAUAUUGAUUACAAAUUAGUCAAUCAGGUAAAUUCAUAAAUACUUUAAAUUUAUUUAUUAAUUCUCUUUAUCUACAUUUGUUCGGGUUUAUAGGUCGACGUUUGUUGGAAUUGUUUCCUGACGUUUCGCCAGCACGAGUGAUUAGCAUCUUCAGAGGUAUGAUUUGUCUCGUGUCUCUUUGACAUAUGAUUGACAACUAAAUGACAACACAGAUAACUGAUGUUCGAGAAAUUUCGUUCUGUUCUUUGGCCAUUCUUAUCUGCUUAGCGAUUUUGGUGUUUUUGAGUACUGGUGUCCAUAUUUUAUCAAGUUUCAGUGUUUCAUCCUAUCUUUGUCAGAUCUGAGACUGUGUUGAAUCUUCCUCGUUGAUAUAUUUAUAUGGGAGAAAAGGUCACUAGGUGGAUCUUUAUAAUUAGUAUUAGGUCUCAUUCGAGAUGGUGUGUGGCACAUGUCCUUUUGGCUCGUUCUAUUAGCAUUUUGAUGGCGCCCCCGUUUUUGGCAAAGAUGAUGGUUAGAUAAAUUAUGUAGAUACCGAUCAGUGUGAGUAGGUUUUCGGUAUACUAUGUUAUAUGGUCUAAAUGUAAACACCAUCGCUAAGUAGAUAGAACGGCCAAUGAACAGAACGAAAUUUCCGGAACAGUUGUCUAUUUUGUCAUUUAGUUGACAAUCAGAUGUGUAAGAGACACGAACCAAGUCAGACCUCUGAAGAUGGUAACCACUCGUGCUACCGAAUCGUCAAGAAAUAAUUCCAACAAACGUCGACCUAUAAACAUGAACAAAUAUAGAUUUGGAAACAAUGGUCGCAAAGGUCUUAACCUUUACAUUAUAUUAAUACUCUUAUUUUUAGGUUAUAAAAAAAGUGUAUGGUGUUUUUUCAUUUUUCAUAAAAAUUACAUAAGAGGAUCUUUUAAAAUAUAUUGUAUGUUAAAUCAAUAAAAUUUAAUAACUAAA